CUUUGACAUUCAAAUAUCCAAAAAACAAAAACAUCAGAAAACAAAAAAUCAAAAUAGUUUCACUGCUGGCUCUAAUCAUUUUUUGAAUUCCUUUUUGGAUUGCUUCAUUCCUGUUUGCAUUUAGAGAGAUUUAACGAUUUGUUAGGUUGAGUUUGGGGUCUACUUAGUUUGGAUUUGGUCGAAAUGUGUUCCAAUAAAGUUCUAGGGUGUUUUAAAGUUCAAUCUCAGGUGAUAUGGGUGUAUUCGAAUCUGUGUUAGCUUGAUCUAUUGACCUUGUUGGUUUUAAAACAUUUCAGAACUUUUCCUAGACUGAUAAAUAUAUUUUUGGGCUGAAACUUGGUUGAUUGGUGUUGUUUGAACUCAAAUAUGUGGUUGUUGUGACCUGAUAUGUGUUACUGUUGCUGAUCCAUCUCCUCUCUCCCAUUUCAUUGCUUUUUCAAGUACUUAUCUCCACUGUUGAGUGUUGUAUGUGAUUGCAAGAUGAAAAAAAUCCAAUUGAAAUAGAAAUUGAAGUGUAGGCGUUUUUUUAUUGCCUUAGUUCGUAUACAGUUCUCUUGUGUUCACUUAGAAGGAUUAAUUCAUGUUGGACAUGUAAUAAUAGGCAUGAGACUGCUGGAUUGUUAAUUGAUUCAUACAAUAGGCAACUGAAUCUGGUAGUUAGUAGUUCUCCGUUUUGUUAAUUCAUGUUAUUAUAACGGGUAGCUUAAAUUCAUAUUCAACUUGGG
rnacentral:lncRNA from 1 species